rnacentral:lncRNA from 1 species
CUAGAAUAAACCACUCCAAUUAAAUGACAUAUUGAGACAGGUAAUUCACUGUAAUAUUUAUUAAGUAGAUGACUUACAAGAGGGAUAUUGAUGAAUGUAAAAAUUUUCACUCACAGUGAACAUGAAACCUUUACACAUGUAAGGUUUAGAUUCUUUUUUUUUUUUUAAUCUGCCCCUUUCAGAUUAUAUCAUGGUAUAUGAAGCACUGGUGAGGUCUAUGUCACCAGAAAUUCCCAGUUUGCUGAUUUCAUUGAGUUUUUUAACCCGAUGAUUGUACUGCAACAAGUGAGCAUCAUUCACUGCAACCUUGAAGUGGUCAGGUUCAACCAGUACUUGUAUCUGAAAUGGCAUAUACAUAAACUGUUACAUGAGGUAAUGCAUAUGUCAGCUGGAUUUAGGCAUUCCACAAUAUAUACAUAUUUCAUCUGCACUAUAGAAACAAUUUUUUGUCAACUGAAAUAAAGGGAAAAAAUGUCCAUUAAUUUCAAACCAGUCUGGCCUGAGCCCAGGAUGUCCAACAUUUCAUCCUU